CUGAAGUGCAUGGAAGAAAGUUGUUUCAAAUACCAUCAUUGCCAGUAUUCCUACUUAGUCUCCAGAAGUGAGGGGUAGGUUGCCCUUUGAAUCAGCUGAUGUUUUUUGUCUUUGGACUGAGAAAACAAAGAAGUUUCUCUUCUGCCUCUGUAUUGGAUGAGCUUCAUGGCUGAAGCUUGUACUACAGAGAUGCCUACAAAGUGCUGUA